GACGAACGCUGGCGGCGUGCUUAACACAUGCAAGUCGAACGGAAAGGCCCUGCUUUUGUGGGGUGCUCGAGUGGCGAACGGGUGAGUAACACGUGAGUAACCUGCCCUUGACUUUGGGAUAACUUCAGGAAACUGGGGCUAAUACCGGAUAGGAGCUCCUGCUGCAUGGUGGGGGUUGGAAAGUUUCGGCGGUUGGGGAUGGACUCGCGUCGUAUCAGCUUGUUGGUGGUGUAGUGGCUUACCAAGGCUUUGACGGGUAGGCGGGCUUUGAGGGUGAACUGCCACAUUGGGACUGAGAUACGGCCCAGGCUCCUACGGGAGGCAGCAGUGGGGAAUAUUGCACAAUGGGCGGAAGCCUGAUGCAGCAACGCAGCGUGCGGGAUGACGGCCUUCGGGUUGUAAACCGCUUUCGGCUGUGACGAAGCGUGAGUGACGGUAAUGGGUAAAGAAGCACCGGCUAACUACGUGCCAGCCGCCGCAGUAA
rnacentral:rRNA from 1 species